rnacentral:rRNA from 1 species
UUGAACGCUGGCGGCAUGCCUAACACAUGCAAGUCGAACGGCAGCACAGCAGUAGCAAUACUGUGGGUGGCGAGUGGCGGACGGGUGAGGAAUACGUCGGAAUCUGCCCAGUCGUGGGGAUAACUAGCCGAAAGGUUAGCUAAUACCGCAUACGACCGAGAGGUGAAAGCGGGGACCGCAAGGCCUCGCGCGAUUGGAUGAGCCGACGUCGGAUUAGCUAGUUGGCGGGUAAAGGCCCACCAAGGCGACGAUCCGUAGCUGGUCUGAGAGGAUGAUCAGCCACACUGGAACUGAGACACGGUCCAGACUCCUACGGGAGGCAGCAGUGGGGAAUAUUGGACAAUGGGCGCAAGCCUGAUCCAGCAAUGCCGCGUGUGUGAAGAAGGCCUUCGGGUUGUAAAGCACUUUUAUCAGGAACGAAAAGCGUUGGAUUAAUACUCUGACGUGCUGACGGUACCUGAGGAAUAAGCACCGGCUAACUUCGUG